CAACAAACUACGUAGCUGAUACUCUUCCAUGAUAACUGCUUUUGUGUAGUUUAUACACUAUACUGCAUUUAAGAUGUUAAAUGAAUACACAUGCUAAAGCUGAAUUUGCACAUUAAGCUGUGGAGUCAUUUUAAGUGAAUUUUGAAUAUUGAGAAAUGAGAGAUCAUUUAAUACUCAGUCUAAAUCAUGAUUUUCAUUGUCCUGGGUAUAUUAAAGGGGUUUGAGGGGAAGCAAGAUAUUAGAGUAGUUAAUGAACAAUAUUUUAAUAUUGACUUUAAAAUACUGUAAUAAAUCCUUUGUGGAGAGUAGGCAGGAAGUGUUUCUCUCAGAACUAGAAGGCAGUAGCAUUUAAGAACUUAAGUUCCCAUCAGAUACUGUCUAAGUAGAAUGGACAGAAUAACACUUGGGAUCAUUACUUAGAGAAUGCCCAGUUGUCAUUAUGUGAUUCAGUUGAACACAGGAUCAUUUAUCAUUUGGCUCUUGAAGCAACCUGUAAUGGCAACAUGUUUUGGAAGUUGAACAUAAUGAAUAUAAAGCCCCCACAAAAAGAGACAUUUGUUCACAUAAUCUCUGAACUGACCAGUCUGUAAUUGAAAACAGAAAGAUAAAAUUAAUCUCAUACUGUCAGGAAGGCACAUAUUCCAUCCCCCCAGUAUUCUGUCCAUUUAGAAAACAAGUGUUAACACCUCUCCAGUUGGCAAGGGGGCUGACAGUUCAGAGUUCUCUUGGUUAACAUCAUGGUACUUAAACUGUUUAUCCACUCCUUAUGUCAUCAGGCAUGUUAUCCACUGCCACUGUGCUAGGUUUUAAAAUCUAUCUUAGGGAGUUCUCGUCGUGGCGCAGUGGUUAACGAAUCCGACUAGGAACCAUGAGGUUGCGGGUUCGGUCCCUGCCCUUGCUCAGUGGGUUAACGAUCCGGCGUUGCCCUGAGCUGUGGUGUAGGUUGCAGACGAGGCUCAGAUCCUGCGUUGCUGUGGCUCUGGUGUAGGCCAGUGGCUACAGCUCCGAUUCGACCCCUAGCCUGGGAACCUCCAUAUGCCGUGAAAGCAGCCCGAGAAAUGGCAAAAAGACAAAAUAUGAAAAAUGACUUAAGCAUUAGCCACAGAAUUUCAAAGGAGCAGUGUUAAUAGCAUUAUUUCAGCUUUUUGGGCUGUCAUAGCUCAUUUUAUUGGAUCAAGGCUCUUGUUUUUCAGUAGCCAUCAUUAUAGCUUCUUAUUUCUGUGUUUGUUGCCUUACAAUCACAGUAUGGCUGCCCCAACUCCAGGCAUCACUAUUGUAUUCACAAGAAAAAAGCCAUCGAGGGUAGGGUCAGUUAUUAAGGGACAAGCUAGAGAAAAAAAUCUGCUAGUGCCCACAACACAUCCUCUUACAUCUCAAUGAACAGAAAUGGAUCACAUGGUUACUAUGAGUGUGGAAUAAACUGGAGAAACAGCUCCUUUUUUGCUCUAGAAUAAUAGACAAGAGAUAGGCCCACUGAAAUUGGCUAACGAGUUAGCUAAUUCAAAGUUUCUACCGCUGCAGCCCAAAUUAGCCAUUGUUGCCUGCAGCUUGAUGUCACCCUUUGUGUUUUUCUUGUAUUUUGUCCUGAAGCCCAGCAGGCUCUUCUGUGCUUGAUGGAGUACAUCACCAGACCAUGCAAACCAUGGGGGCAGGGAGUGGCUCUAGAGGCAGAAGCAGGCAGUGUUAGUUCUUAGAGAUCUACCCACAUGUUACAGGAAAUCAUUGGUAUGAGGGUGUUUCUAAAGCAGAAGCCAAUUAUGACGUCAGGAAUCUGGGCAAAUCCGGAUGUAUGAGGUGAGCUUCACAACUUAUUCAACUGCUGAAGGUACUGCCUUCAGUGAGGAGGCAGGGGUAACGGUCGCUGUGUGCCAUGGAGCCUUGUUUCUAUAGUGAGAAAGCCUCCUCAGGGUAAUGGUUUGUUCUUUCUGCUUUGACACUAGCAGUGGAUAACUUUUUCUGUAGCCGUCUCAGUGGAAACCUUUUUCCACUCUCCUAAAACUUGAGAGAGAUCAGAAGGAUAAUCUUGCUCUUUGGCAUUUAUCAUUCAGUCAAAAUGCUUUGACAAAGUCUCUUUCCACUUGGGUAACUUGACUUUUCAAAACAUCUUUAGAUACUGAACCCUAUUGUUCGCUGACUUCAAAAUGCUCUUCUUAAAAAUGUGUUAUUUGCUCAGAUCUUGACUCUGUAACCUGUGUUCUAUUUAAAUUCAUGUGGGGGCCUCAUGGAAUGCUUUGAUCUGGUCAGGCUCACCUCUAACAGCAAUUCCUACCAUCUCCGCUAGAUGGCGGUCACCCAUGAGAUGAUGCCCACAUUUCCCCUGGGCUUGACUCCUCCAAAACUUCUCCUCCUCCAAAACCUUCAAUUGGGAGCCACUGUGUCUUUCUUUGUUUCCUGGGUCUUGAGUCCUUACCGAACCCUGUAAGUCCUAUUUUGUCUUUACUGUCCAUCAAAUUGAUUUUCAUCCUUUGUUCCCUGGCACCUUCUAUUUAUUCUUCUUGAUUCUCACAAUGGUGACGUUGGAGUAGGAAAAUGAAUUUGUACCUGUUUUUGUUGUUGUUUAUUUUUAUUUAUUUUUGCUUUUUAGGACCGCACCUGCGAAUUACAGAAGUUCCCAGGUUAGUGGUUGAAUGGGAGCUACAACUGUUGGCCUACACUAUAGCCAUAGCAAUGUUGGAGCCGAGCCAUGUUUUCAACCUACACCACAGCUCGUGGCAACAACGGAUGCUUAACCCACUGAGUGAGAUCAGGGAUCAAACCCUGUGUCCUCAUAGAUCCCAGCUGGGUUCAUUAACUGCUGAAUCACAAAGGGAACUAUGAAUUUGUACUUGUUGAACGCAUAUUUUGUGGAAACUGCUGGGAACUUUGCCUCUGUUAUUUCUUUUGAUCCUCAGAACUGGAACUAGUCCUUAAAUUUUAACAUCCUUCAGUAGUUAAAUAUUCUUAGGAGAGCUCAGGUUCUUCCUGGCUUCAACUUUCCCCUUUAACAUAAUCUGGUCCCAUAUCUUUCAUAACUAUAAUCAAGUUUCACACUACCAAAGGUUAACAUCAGUUAAUGGUGAAAUACUCAUUUCUUCAAUUUCUUGCUCCCAAGUCCUUCUGUGGUCACCCUUAUCUGGACAUUAGAAUAGCUAUUUUCUUGGCCUCUUCUCUUCCAGCUUUUCCUACUCCACUCCUGCCUAUUUUUAUUUUAUCCUGCUAAAACUGUGAUUUGAGUGUAUCUCUCAAUUACUCUGAAUCCUUUGAUGGUGUCCACUCUUGUAUUAUAUUCAUUUUCACCUCUUUAUUCUGGCAGUUAAAUCUUUCUGCAGGCACACCCAGAUCUCUUCCCAUCCUCAUCUUCCUUGCUCUUAAGGAGCUUCCAAGUAUCUCCUAAUCUAAACUAUCUCUGUCCUAUGUUCUUCUGACAUCGUUGUUUUGUUCUUGACUUUGUUUAGUCUAAAACGAGGUCUUCAAUAUCCACUUGAUGAAAUCUAGUCUCUUAUGUAGAGCACAGUUUAUGUACAGUGUUAUGUUUCAUGCUAAGUUACUGUACACUAUCACUCUGCUUGGUCCUUCUAUAAUAAUGCAUACCACUUGCUUACAUGGUACUUUUCAAAUACUUCCUUGGAAAAGAAUACUUGAAAGUAUUCUUUGAAUGUAUACCAUUGAAUUUUUAAGACAGUUAAAGAUAGGAAAAUUGUGUACAUUUUCAAAUUGCAUAUAGCUUAAUAUUUUGACUGAUUUUUAAAAAUUCUUAAUCAAAUCUUGACUAGACCAAUAAAGUUUAAAGAGCUCAAAUGUAAUAUUAGUAACUUUAGGGGACACCUAAAAUUCCAUAGUCACCAAAAAUAAAAUAUUAACAUGAUGAGAUUACAGUUGUAAGAAAUACAAGGUGUCACAUUUGUCAUACAGUGGCAUUGACAGAAAGCUAGAAAGGUCACACAAUCUUGUCUCUUCAUCAUUAGAAAGUUUCUUUCAAAUCCUCUCUAUGUGUAGUUAGUUGUACCAUUUGAGAAGUUACCAAAGAAUCUAUUUCUGAUGUACAAUGACUCAGAUAACUGCUACUCCCUAAAUAUCUCAGAUAUCGCAAAAGAGCAUGAGCAAAAUGGGGGCCAGGAGGAAAAUGUAUAUGUUAAUGGAAAUUUAUUCCUUAAAAUGUUUUCAGAUAAAAAAUGUGUUAUAUAUAGCAGUGGUUUUCUAAGUGUGGUUGAUUUGUAUCAGUGUCACCUGAGAAAAAUGCCUCCUGCUCUUCUGAAUCAAACUGGGGAUGGGAUGCAGAUUCCUUUGCCUUAUGAAUCCUUUCAGGUGAUUCUGAUGAAUGUCGAAGUUAUAAAAAUCAUUGAUACAUACAACCACUUAUAAAUCCCACUGCUUUUAUUUAUAAAUUCUCAACAUUGUAAAGCAUGAUGUAUCAUCAAGAUAUAUAUUAAAAAUCCAUUUUUUUAGCCCAGAGAAAAUUUAUCACUAAAAUAAUGUCCUGGUAGUAGCUGAAUUGAAUGAUAAUAAUGAAAUAGGAAAACUUGGAUGUAUUUGCUAAGCACCUGUCUGUCAGCUUCUAUUUACUGGAAGGUCCAUCCCCACCACCCCCACCUCCCCGCCACCCCAGCCUCAUUAGACAGUGAGCUUCAUAAAGUCGAGUGUGUCUAUUCCAUUCAUGACCAGGCUCAUAUAUGCACUUGAUAUGUGAGAAACAUAGCAAUUCUGGAAAUCAAAUGUGAACAAGAAAAAUGUGUUUUACCACAAGGAGUAAUUCUAAUCAGGGAGACAGGGCAUAAACAAAUUUUAAAAUGCUUUUUCGUACAGUAGGAGUACUAACUGGGUGCCCUGAAAGAAAAGAGUCAAACAGGCUUCAGAUGGGCUCUCAGAGAAGGUCUGGUCAAGAAUGUGACAUUUACCAAGACCUGCAACUGGAGAAACAGCCUGAAGGUCUGGAGGGAAAGCUUCCCUGGCAGACAUGAAGAAAGGGGCAGGAAAAGAUAGUGUCACUGGAGAAACUGUCAGGGUGUCUGCUUAUUUAGCAAGAGGAAGAUUGACAGGAAAUGACGUUGGAGCGUCAACAACGGGUCAGAAUGAGAUCCUUGUGUGCUGGGGCCAAGAACUCAUUGGAAA
rnacentral:lncRNA from 1 species